rnacentral:tRNA from 1 species
UGAGGAUGUGGCUCAGUGGUAGAGCAUUUGCUUUGCAUGCAUGGUCCUGAGUUCAAUCCCCAACACUUCAA